rnacentral:rRNA from 1 species
CGCAUCUGUGCAUGCAGCAUAUCAAUAAGCGGAGGAAAAGAAACUAACAAGGAUUCCCUUAGUAACGGCGAGUGAAGCGGGAAGAGCUCAAAUUUGAAAUCUUCAAGGUUUUACCUUGACGAAUUGUAGUUUAAAGAAGUGUUUUCUGUUGAAGUUUUGGUAAAAGUUCUUUGGAAUAGGACAUCAUAGAGGGUGAGAAUCCCGUAUUUGACCAUUAUUUUCAGCUGUGUGAUACACUUUCAAAGAGUCGGAUUGUUUGGGAAUGCAGUCCAAAAUGGGUGGUAAAUUUCAUCUAAAGCUAAAUAUUGGCGAGAGACCGAUAGCGAACAAGUACCGUGAGGGAAAGAUGAAAAGAACUUUGAAAAGAGAGUUAAACAGUACGUGAAAUUGUCAAAAGGGAGGCGUUUGACACCAGUGUUGUUUUCUCGAAAAUCAAUUAAAAAGAGUUAGAUUUUGUUGUGUAUUGACCUUAACAGCUUGCAUUUCAAUUUUCUUGCUUUUUUUAAUGCACUUUUCGUUUAACAAGUCAACAUCAGUUUCUUUUGUUGUAAAAAGGUCAUUGGAAGGUGGCUUUCUUUUCGGAGAAAGUGUUUAUAGCCUUUGACUCCUGCAAUCGGAGAGACUGAGGUCUGCAGCGUAGAUCCUUCGGGGUUAGAUACAUUUGUGCUAAGUUAUAGCUUUUUAUAGACAACUUGUUGACUAUGAUUAGUCUUGUAGCUUACUCGCUUAUGCUAUUUUACCUACGCUUAGGAUGUUGAUGUGAUACUGCGAGCA